UACGGAGGGUGCAAACGUUGCUCGGAAUUAUUGGGCGUAAAGCGCACGUAGGCGGCCGACUAAGUCGGGUGUGAAAGCCCAGGGCUCAACCCUGGAAGUGCACUCGAAACUGGUCGGCUUGAAUAUGGAAGAGGGUCGCGGAAUUCCCGGUGUAGAGGUGAAAUUCGUAGAUAUCGGGAGGAACACCAGUGGCGAAGGCGGGUCUCUGGGCCGUAACUGACGCUGAGGAGCGAAAGCGUGGGGAGCGAACAGG
rnacentral:rRNA from 1 species